rnacentral:rRNA from 11 species
GCGACCGAUAGUGAACCAGUACCGUGAGGGAAAGGUGAAAAGCACCCCGACAAGGGGAGUGAAACAGAUCCUGAAACCGGAUGCCUACAAGCAGUUGGAGCCCAAGGUCCGUCCUGGGUGACAGCGUACCUCUUGCAUAAUGGGUCAGCGACUUAAUCUGGCAAGCAAGCUUAAGCCGAUAGGUGUAGGCGCAGCGAAAGCAAGUCUUAAUAGGGCGAAUGAGUUUGUCGGAUUAGACCCGAAACCAGGUGAUCUAGAUAUGAGCAGGUUGAAGGUGCAGUAACAUGCACUGGAGGACCGAACCCACGUAUGUUGAAAAAUGCGGGGAUGACUUGUGUCUAGGGGUGAAAGGCCAAUCAAACUUGGAAAUAGCUGGUUCUCCGCGAAAUCUAUUUAGGUAGAGCGUCGCGAUUAUACCCUCGGGGGUAGAGCACUGGAUGGGCUAGGGGGACUCACCGUCUUACCAAACCUAACCAAACUCCGAAUACCGAGGAGUACUGCGCGGCAGACACACUGCGGGUGCUAAGGUCCGUAGUGAAAAGGGAAACAGCCCUGACCGCCAGUUAAGGUCCCUAAGUAAUGGCUAAGUGGGAAAGGAUGUGGGAGUGCAGUGACAAUCAGGAGGUUGGCUUAGAAGCAGCCACCCUUUAAAGAAAGCGUAACAGCUCACUGAUCAAGCGCUCCUGCGCCGAAGAUGUACCGGGGCUUAAGCCAUUCACCGAAACUGCGGGUGUACAUUUCUUUCGGGAUUUGUACGCGGUAGCGGAGCGUUCCGUAAGUCUGUGAAGGGUGACCCGCGAGGGCACCUGGAGAUAUCGGAAGUGAGAAUGCUGACAUGAGUAGCGACAAAGAGGGUGAGAGACCCUCUCGCCGAAAGUCCAAGGGUUCCUGCGUAAAGCUAAUCUGCGCAGGGUUAGCCGGCCCCUAAGGCGAGGCAGAAAUGCGUAGUCGAUGGGAAACGGGUUAAUAUUCCCGUACUUAUAUAAUCAGUGAUGGAGGGACGGAGAAGGCUAGGCCAGCUUGGCGUUGGUUGUCCAAGUUUAAGGUGGUAGGCUGGAAUCUUAGGUAAAUCCGGGAUUCUAAGGCCGAGAGCUGAUGACGAGUUAUCUUUUAGAUGACGAAGUGGUUGAUGCCAUGCUUCCAAGAAAAGCUUCUAAGCUUCAGGUAACCAGGAACCGUACCCCAAACCGACACAGGUGGUUGGGUAGAGAAUACCAAGGCGCUUGAGAGAACUCGGGUGAAGGAACUAGGCAAAAUGGCACCGUAACUUCGGGAGAAGGUGCGCCGGUGAGGGUGAAGGACUUGCUCCGUAAGCUCAUGCCGGUCGAAGAUACCAGGCCGCUGCGACUGUUUAUUAAAAACACAGCACUGUGCAAACA